UACAGAGGGUGCAAGCGUUGUUCGGAAUUAUUGGGCGUAAAGCGCGCGUAGGCGGUUACUUAAGUCGGAUGUGAAAGCCCUCGGCUUAACUGAGGAAGUGCACCCGAAACUGAGUAGCUAGAGUACGAAAGAGGGUCGCGGAAUUCCCGGUGUAGAGGUGAAAUUCGUAGAUAUCAGGAGGAACACCAGUGGCGAAGGCGGCUUUCUGGACGGUAACUGACGCUGAGACGCGAAAGCGUGGGGAGCAAACAGG
rnacentral:rRNA from 1 species